UAUUAUUUUAAUGCAUAGUUGCAUCUUGCACUAACAUAUGAUGAUGCUCAAAGAGGUUUGGAGCCUUUGUUGUCUCCGUUUUUCGAGAAAAUAGCGAUUCUAUAGUGGUUAUUCCAACUAUUUAUGGAGUAUUAUGAAGUUUUACUAAAUUAAUUGAUAAAAAAUUAUAAAGAUUCUCAUAUACCAUGAAAGAUAGUUUAACAUACAUUAAAAAAAAUGUAGAAUGUGGUUAGAAAUUUUAAAACAACACUAAAAAAUUUAGGCUUCAAUAUAUUGAGCGUUUAACGUAAAACUCAAUAUUUUGUACGGGUUUAUACAUAGAUUUUGAAAAAAUUCAAAAAAAUAACAAUAUUGUUUUAAU
rnacentral:lncRNA from 1 species